UACGGUUGUAUUCCAUUACGGGCUUAAGUAGAAAAAUUUAGAGAUUUCUAUUCCCUUCCCUCUUCACCUUUACCCAUUCAUUCCCAUAUCAACCCUAUUUUACCCUCACAAAUUCUCACCUCAAAAACACUCAACGGUAGCCAUUUCUUGCUUCCUCCGACUCCGGUAUUCCAUCCCUUCAUCCAAGGUCAGUGUUAAGAGCUUGAAGGUUGGAUUUGGUCGGAGACGCAUCACACUAUCAACCUCAAGAUCUCGGUAUAUAAAGACACUUUAUUUUGGAAAUCAAUGGCAUGUAUAAGCUAGUAAAGUAAAUGUUAAUUUGAAAUGAAUGUAUGGUUAGGCAUUAGUAUGGCUAACAAAUUGUGAUUUUGGUAUGUGAUGAGGUUGUCUUAUGAAUAUGUUAAAUCUAUCAUAAAAAUAUGUUGAAAUGGA